rnacentral:rRNA from 1 species
AAAAUGACUGGCGGCGGCUUACACAUGCAAGUCGAACGGUAACGGGAAGAAGCUUGCUUCUUUGCCGACGAGUGGCGGACGGGUGAGUAAUGCUUGGGAAUCCGGCUUAUGGAGGGGGAUAACGACGGGAAACUGUCGCUAAUACCGCGCAAUAUCUACGGAUUAAAGGGUGGGACUUUCGGGCCACCCGCCAUAAGAUGAGCCCAAGUGGGAUUAGGUAGUUGGUGGGGUAAAGGCCUACCAAGCCUGCGAUCUCUAGCUGGUCUGAGAGGAUGACCAGCCACACCGGGACUGAGACACGGCCCGGACUCCUACGGGAGGCAGCAGUGGGGAAUAUUGCACAAUGGGGGGAACCCUGAUGCAGCCAUGCCGCGUGAAUGAAGAAGGCCUUCGGGUUGUAAAGUUCUUUCGGUAGCGAGGAAGGUGUUUUGUUUAAUAGACAAAGCAAUUGACGUUAACUACAGAAGAAGCACCGGCUAACUCCGUGCCAGCAGCCGCGGUAAU